rnacentral:rRNA from 1 species
GGAUUAGGCAUGCAAGUCGCACGAGAUCCCGCUUCUGUGGGUGACAGUGGCGAAAGGGUGAGUAAUGCAUAGACAACCUACCUUCGAGCCUGGGAUAACUGGUGGAAACGCCAGCUAAUACCGGAUAGGCUCGCUGAGGUUUAUGCUUCGGCGAGUAAAGGUGGCCUCUUGGCAAUGCUACUACUUGAAGACGGGUCUAUGUCCUAUCAGCUUGUUGGUGAGGUAACGGCUCACCAUGGCGAUAACGGGUAGCCGACCUGAGAGGGUGACCGGCCACACUGGGACUGAGACACUGCCCAGACUCCUACGGGAGGCUGCAGUCGAGAAUCUUCCGCAAUGGGCGAAAGCCUGACGGAGCGACGCCGCGUGCGGGAUGAAGGCCUUCGGGUUGUAAACCGCUGUCACAGGUUAAGAACGGGUCAGUCGUUAAUAGCGGCUGGCUUUGACAAAUGCCUGAGAGGAAGCCACGGCUAACUUCGUGCCAGCAGCCGCGGUAAGACGAAGGUGGCGACCGUUGUUCGGAAUCACUGGGCAUAAAGCGCACGUAGGCGGGAGAGCAAGUCGGGUGUGAAAUCCCUCGGCCCAACCGAGGAACUGCGCCCGAAACUGCUCUCCUUGAGGACAGGAGGGGAGCGUGGAAUUCCUGGUGGAGCGGCGAAAUGCGUUGAUAUCAGGAGGAACACCGGCGGCGAAGGCGACGCUCUGGCCUGUUUCUGACGCUAAGGUGCGAAAGCCAGGGGAGCAAACGGGAUUAGAUACCCCGGUAGUCCUGGCCGUAAACGAUGGGCACUAAGUAGAGGGGUUUU